rnacentral:misc_RNA from 1 species
GUAGGUGAACCUGCGGAAGGAUCAUUAUCGUACAAAAUGUGAGAGGGGCAUGCGAGGGCUGUCGCUGACUCAAAGUCGUGCACGCCCGAGUGUGUCGCCUCACAUAAUAAUCCAUCUCACCCUUUGUGCAUCACCGCGUGGGCACCCCUUUGGGAUCAUCUCGGAGGGGGCUCGCGUUUUCACACAAAACCCCCCUUUUAAAAGUGUAGAAUGACCUCAUUUAUGCGCUAACCCGCAAUCAAUACAACUUUCAACAACGGAUCUCUUGGCUCUC